rnacentral:sRNA from 12 species
UUCCCGACGCUUGGAAUCAAGAUGCUUUGGGCCCGGGGACGUAAUAGCUGCCGAUCAAGGGGAUCUCUUCACGGCAGCCGGUAUAGCCGGUUAGGUGCGACCCGCAAGGGCGAGAAGGCAAUGGCAGGGCAGCGUAAAAACCCACCACGGGCGCUGUCACUGUCCUAAAACCCACCAACCGCCAGACGCCGAAGAGGGCAGGGGGCGCAGUGGUAAACAAUCCCCGAAAGUCUGGAACGCCU